rnacentral:rRNA from 1 species
GACGAACGCUGGCGGCGUGCUUAACACAUGCAAGUCGAACGAAGAGCGAUGGAAGCUUGCUUCUAUCAAUCUUAGUGGCGAACGGGUGAGUAACGCGUAAUCAACCUGCCCUUCAGAGGGGGACAACAGUUGGAAACGACUGCUAAUACCGCAUACGAUCUAACCUCGGCAUCGAGGAAAGAUGAAAGGUGGCCUCUAUGUAUAAGCUAUCACUGAAGGAGGGAAUUGCGUCUGAUUAGCUAGUUGGAGGGGUAACGGCCCACCAAGGCGAUGAUCAGUAGCCGGUCUGAGAGGAUGAACGGCCACAUUGGGACUGAGACACGGCCCAGACUCCUACGGGAGGCAGCAGUGGGGAAUCUUCCGCAAUGGACGAAAGUCUGACGGAGCAACGCCGCGUGAGUGAUGACGGCCUUCGGGUUGUAAAGCUCUGUUAAUCGGGACGAAAGGCCUUCUUGCGAAUAGUGAGAAGGAUUGACGGUACCGGAAUAGAAAGCCACGGCUAACUACGUG